rnacentral:rRNA from 1 species
AUCAACUUUCGAUGGUAGGAUAGAGGCCUACCAUGGUGGUGACGGGUGACAGAGAAUUAGGGUUCAAUUCCGGAGAGGGAGCCUGAGAAACGGCUACCAAAUCCAAGGAUGGCAGCAGGCGCGCAAAUUACCCAAUCCCGACACGGGGAGGUAGUGACAAUAAAUAACAAUACGGGGUUCUUUAGGAUCUCGUAAUUGGAAUGAGUACAAUUUAAAUCUCUUAACGAGGAACAAUUGGAGGGCAAGUCUGGUGCCAGCAGCCGCGGUAAUUCCAGCUCCAAUAGCGUAUAUUAAAGUUGUUGCAGUUAAAAGGCUCGUAGUUGAAUUUCGGGGUCAGUAGGUCGGUCGUGCCACAGGUAUGAACUGGUCUCACUGAUUCCUCCUUCCUGAUGAACCGUAAUGCCAUUAAUUUGGUGUUGCGGGGAGACUGGACUGUUACUUUGAAAAAAUUAGAGUGUUUAAAGCAGGCUAACGCUUGAAUACAUUAGCAUGGAAUAAUGAAAUAGGACGUUCGGUCUUAUUUUGUUGGUUUCUAAGAUUGACGUAAUGAUUAAUAGGGAUAGUUGGGGGCAUUAGUAUUCAAUUGUCAGAGGUGAAAUUCUUGGAUUUAUUGAAGACUAACUACUGCGAAAGCAUUUGCCAAGGAUGUUUUCAUUAAUCAAGAACGAAAGUUAGGGGAUCGAAGACGAUCAGAUACCGUCGUAGUCUUAACCAUAAACUAUGCCGACUAGGGAUCGGAUGAUGUUAAUUUUUUAAUGACUCAUUCGGCGCCUUACGGGAAACCAAAGUGUUUGGGUUC